rnacentral:rRNA from 1 species
AUUGAACGCUCGCGGGAUGCUUUACACAUGCAAGUCGAACGAGUGGCGGACGGGUGAGUAAUAUAUCGGAACGUGCCCAGUAGCGGGGGAUAACUACUCGAAAGAGUGGUUAUUACCGCUUACUAUUGGAGCGGGCCAGCUCGGAUUAGCUAGUUGGUGGGGUAAAGGCUCACCAAGAAAACGAUCCCUAGCUGGUGUGAGAGGACGACCAGCCACACUGGGACUGAGACACGGCCCAGACUCCUACGGGAGGCAGCAGUGGGUAAUGUUGGACAAUGGGGGAAACCCUGAUCCAGCCAACCCGCGUGUAUGAGAAGGCCUUCGGGUUGUAAAGUACUUUUGGCAGAGAAGCGGUAUCUGCAGAAUAAGCGCCGGCUAACUACGUGCCAGCAGCCGCGGUAAUUC